CCUACGGGUGGCAGCAGUGGGGAAUAUUGCACAAUGGGGGAAACCCUGAUGCAGCGACGCCGCGUGAAGGAAGAAGUAUUUCGGUUUGUAAACUUCUAUUAGUAGGGAAGAAAAUGACGGUAUCUGACUAAGAAGCCCCGGCUAACUACGUGCCAGCAGCCGCGGUAAUACGUAGGGGGCAAGCGUUAUCCGGAUUUACUGGGUGUAAAGGGAGCGUAGGCGGUUCAGCAAGUCAGAAGUGAAAGCCCGGGGCUUAACUACGGGACUGCAUUUGAAACUGUUGAACUAGAGUGCAGGAGAGGUAAGUGGAAUUCCUAGUGUAGCGGUGAAAUGCGUAGAUAUUAGGAGGAACACCAGUGGCGAAGGCGACUUACUGGACUGUAAAUGACGCUGAGGCUCGAAAGCGUGGGGAGCAAACAGGAUUAGAUACCCUUGUAGUC
rnacentral:rRNA from 1 species